rnacentral:lncRNA from 1 species
GCUGGCAUCGUUGUGGUACAUUGGCACAGAGUCUUUCAGGACACUGUUUUCUGGAAGAUCUACCUUCCUCCCCACAUCCUCCUCCACCCAUCCCUUUUGGGCCUCCACCCCUGAACACCAGAGGAGACGGCUCCUUUCAAAGUUUGUAAUCAGGAGGGACAACCAACAGUAACGUGGGCGGCAGGAAGAGAAGAGGAGGUGGUCCCAGAGUCCACCUGAAAUUGGAGAGACAGAGCUUGAUGAACUCCAGAGCAGCCAUGGAGAGAGGCUUGGCAUGAGCUACUGGCAUAGAAGACCUUAGCUGAGGCCUUCCUUGGCCUCACGACACAUAUGGUUGAAUGAGACAAACCAAAAGCCUAUGGGCAGGACCCACAGGAACACUCUUAAUAAUUGGUAUUUAAAGCCUCUUAUUUUCCCUCCAGU